rnacentral:rRNA from 1 species
UAGGGAAUCUUCCACAAUGGACGAAAGUCUGAUGGAGCAACGCCGCGUGAGUGAAGAAGGGUUUCGGGCUCGUAAAGCUCUGUUGGUAGUGAAGAAAGAUAGAGGCAGUAACUGGCCUUUAUUUGACGGUAAUUACUUAGAAAGUCACGGCUAACUACGUGCCAGCAGCGCGGUAAUACAUGACU